GUACUAACUUUGAGGAACCAUGAUUCCUGAUGCAAGCUGAAGUUAAAGUGAACAACAUGUUAUCAGUUUUUAUGUCUCAGCCAACUAAUGUAUGUACUUAAUGAUUCUGAUUAAUAGUCCUGUAGCAUUUCCAGCAACUGUUAGGAAAUUUAAAUGAAUACAUGUAAAUAUACUUCAGUGUACAAAUAUAAAAUUUAUAAUUCAGUAUAAAAUUUAAAAUUUCUUUCUUUGUAAUAGUUGUAAGCUUAUAAUUCUAGUCGCACUAGAAAGUUUGUGCAUGGAGCAUCAUGAUGAUCUGCUCUUCUUUGCUGUUGUAAUUACAGCCUUUAAAGACAGAGUUCAGAGCUGGGGAGGGAGGGGUCCCGUGCUCCAGUACUGAUGACCUGAGUUCAACCCUGAAUCCACAUGGUGGGAGGAGAGAACCAACUUCCCACGUUUAUUCCGUGGUACACAGGCAACACCUACACACAUUCAAGUGCAGUCACACACAGGCCUGCACACACUAAUCUCUUAUCUCUCUAUUUUGCUAUUGCAAAGCAGCAGACUUUAACCUAAUUUAUCCAUUUUAAGUAAGUGGUAUAAUAGAAGUGGGUUGGUUAUAUUGGUAUUUUUAAAAAAACUUUAAUAUCUCUUAAUUUGCAUUUUAUUAAUGAUUCCAUGAUAACAUACUUUCUUUUUUGAAUUAAUAGAAAAAUCAGUUAAGACUUGUGCUCAAGAGCCAUUCCUACCACAUUGAACUCACAUUAAGACUCUUUUUCAGUAUUUUAAGUUUUUUAGUGUCAUUUCAUCAUUGGUGAGCCAAUAAUAAAAUCCUACCUACCUAACAAGUUAUGAUCAUCAGUAUGAUCACCUGGACAAAACAUGUUCUCUUCAGGCACUCCUGAAAAACUCCUGGGAGUGUUUCUCAGUCAAUAGAGUAUUUUCCUAGGAUACACAAAACCCUGAUUUUAUCCCAGCACCACAUAAAAGCCAACUAUGGUGAUGCACGCCUAUAAUCCCAGCACUCCAGAAGAAAAGACAGCAGAAUGGGAUGUUGAAAUUAUCCUGUAUUUGUCAGGCAUGAUGGGGUGUACCUUUGGUCCCAGCAGAGAUAGGUAGACUCUGAGUCCGAGGCCAUCCUGGUCUGUCUACAGAGUGAGUUCCAAAAAGUAAGGCCUGUAAGGAGAAACCCUGUCUUAAAGAA
rnacentral:lncRNA from 1 species